rnacentral:lncRNA from 1 species
UGAUAUUGUGUCAAGAUGAGUGAGGGAAAGAUAGUUGAAGCAAAAGCUCAAAAAAAUCUUCAAGAUUUUGAUCCACAAAAGAAGCCUAAGAGAAAUAAGUAUGCUUUUGCUUGUGCUAUGUUGGCUUCCAUGACUUCCAUUUUGCUUGGAUAUGGUAAAUAAUUACUAUACACCAUCUCAUAUUUAUAGUUUAUUUAUUUAUUAUACUCCUAUCCAAAUUUUCUUCAAAAAGAAACAAGUAUGCUUUUGCUUGUGCUAUGUUGGCUUCCAUGACUUCCAUUUUGCUUGGAUAUGGUAAAUAAUUACUAUACACCAUCUCAUAUUUAUAGUUUAUUUAUUUAUUAUACUCCUAUCCAAAUUUUCUUCAAAAAGAAACAAGUAUGCUUUUGCUUGUGC